ACAACAAACUACAAAACAGUUUCGUUAACUUAUUAAUAGUAUAAAUAUCAAAAUAUUACAUAUCUGAUUUAUUCCAAAAUUAAUUUGAGUUGACGGUGAUAUUGAUAUAUACAUUAUAUUGAUUGUUACGAAUGAUACAAGUGUCCUUAAACUUUGCAAAUAUGUUUGAAAAUAAAGGGUAAGGUUAUGUGGAGUUGUGAGGAAUGUUUGAGUUGGAUGCGAUGAAACAUAAUUUCAAAGAAUAUAUUACCGGUGUCAACAAUAUUUGCAGUUCCCUUUAUCGAUUCAAGGUAUAUCAACUAAUGAUAAAGAUUCCUGUAAUGUAUUUAUUCAGUCGAUAAACUACCAUAACUGGAGAACUGAAUUUAGCGCCCUCUGUCUGUGAACAGUGCGUCCAACUAUCUAAAAUGUGUGAAAGUGCCAAUCAAUAAUCAUCUGUGACUACAAAUACUUCCCGCCAACGGUUUGAGCAUUUUGUAACGAAUAUGGCGGAGCAAUCGCAGAAGACGGUUAACUGGAUUCAACGUUCGAUCGCCACAAAAUUAAGAUGAAUCGUUGUUCUGUACAAUCGGGCAGGUGAAUUUUACUAAAAAAGUAAAUCAUAACAACGUACUAUAGAAUUUUCGUUUUAUUUCCCACGAAAAAAGUAACAAUUAUUGUACAAAAAGCAUUUUCUGAAACAUACAUAUAAUGGGAUCUGACAAAUAAAUAAAUGAUUUUUAACGCUAUAAUGAAUACAUUAGCUGCGUGUAUAAUAGGACAGAUUUCUUUUCAACGAAAUCUCCUGAUAUAGGGAGAUAAUCUAUAUCACUGCACUUUAUUGGUCAUUAUGUGGUAAUAUUGAUAGAGACUUCAAAUAGAUAUAAUGAUAUCUAGAACCUCCACUACUAGCUUAUCGUCGUAAUAUC